rnacentral:rRNA from 1 species
CCUACGGGGGACAGCAGUCGAGAAUCAUUCACAAUGGGGGAAACCCUGAUGGUGCGACGCCGCGUGGGGGAAUGAAGGUCUUCGGAUUGUAAACCCCUGUCAUGUGGGAGCAAAUUAAAAAGAUAGUACCACAAGAGGAAGAGACGGCUAACUCGGUGCCAGCAGCCGCGGUAAUACAGAGGUCUCAAGCGUUGUUCGGAAUCACUGGGCGUAAAGCGUGCGUAGGCUGUUUCGUAAGUCGUGUGUGAAAGGCGCGGGCUCAACCCGCGGACGGCACAUGAUACUGCGAGACUAGAGUAAGGGAGGGGGAACCGGAAUUCGCGGUGUAGCAGUGAAAUGCGUAGAUAUCGAGAGGAACACUCGUGGCGAAGGCGGGUUCCUGGACAUUAACUGACGCUGAGGCACGAAGGCCAGGGGAGCGAAAGGGAUUAGAUACCCUGGUAGUC